rnacentral:rRNA from 1 species
UACGUAGGGUGCAAGCGUUGUUCGGAAUUACUGGGCGUAAAGAGCGCGUAGGCGGUCUGUCGCGUCGGAUGUGAAAAUCCAGGGCUCAACCCUGGACCUGCAUUCGAUACGGGCAGACUAGAGUUCGGCAGGGGAGGCUGGAAUUCCUGGUGUAGCGGUGAAAUGCGCAGAUAUCAGGAGGAACACCGGUGGCGAAGGCGGGUCUCUGGGUCGAUACUGACGCUGAGGAGCGAAAGCGUGGGGAGCAAACAGG